rnacentral:ncRNA from 2 species
UCAGAGGCGAUGAAGGACGUGCUAAUC